GACGAACGCUGGCGGCGUGCUUAACACAUGCAAGUCGAACGGUGACCCAGGGCUUGCCCUGGUGAUCAGUGGCGAACGGUGAGUAACACGUGGGCAACCUGCCCCUGACUUCGGGAUAACUCCUCGAAAGAGGAGCUAAUACCGGAUACGACCACUUCGGACAUCCGAUGGUGGUGGAAAGUUUUUCGGUCAGGGAUGGGCCCGCGGCCUAUCAGCUAGUUGGUGGGGUAAUGGCCUACCAAGGCGACGACGGGUAGCCGGCCUGAGAGGGCGACCGGCCACACUGGGACUGAGACACGGCCCAGACUCCUACGGGAGGCAGCAGUGGGGAAUAUUGCGCAAUGGGCGAAAGCCUGACGCAGCGACGCCGCGUGAGGGAUGAAGGCCUCGGGUUGGUAAACCUCUUUCAGCAGGACGAAGCGAAAGUGACGGUACCUGCAGAAGAAGCACCGGCUAACUACGUGCCAGCAGCCGCGGUAAU
rnacentral:rRNA from 1 species